rnacentral:rRNA from 1 species
AGCCAACUUGAGUGGGUGUUUGACGCGCGCCGGGCGCCCCGCAGCGAGCUUGUGUGCCACAACGCUGAGGUACGGUCCGUCCAGCGGUGAAUUUGAGGCGCGGGGCCGGGCCCGUCGCUCAACGCAAGCCAGGCUUGAGUGUGUAAUGACGCUCGAACAGGCAUGCCCCCGGAAUGCCAGGGGCGCAAUGUGAGUUGCAGAAUUCAGUGAUUCAUCGAAUUCUUGAACGCACAUUGCGCCCCUGGCAUUCCGGGGGCAUGCCUGUUCGAGCGUCAUUACACCACUCAAGCCUGGCUUGGCGUUGAGCGACGGGCCCGGCCCGCGCCUCAAAUUCACCGGCUGGACGGACCGUACCUCAGCGUUGUGGCACACAAGCUCGCUGCGGGGCGGCCGCGCGCCGUCAAAACACCCACUCAAGGUUGACCUCGGAUCAGGUAGGAUACCGCUGAACUUAA